UGAGGAAUAUUGGUCAAUGGACGAGAGUCUGAACCAGCCAAGUCGCGUGAAGGAAGACGGCCCUACGGGUUGUAAACUUCUUUUGUAAGGGAAUAAAUAGUCUUACGCGCUAAGACGUUGCAGGUACCUUACGAAUAAGGAUCGGUUAACUCCGUGCCAGCAGCCGCGGUAAU
rnacentral:rRNA from 1 species